CGACUGUGAAUCCCACAUCUCUGUCCUUCAGCUUCACUCAUUCCCAGUAAAGAUGACGACACACACACUGAUCAUCUGCUCUCUGCUGCUGCUCCUCAACGAGUGUAGAGGACAGAUCACCGUCACUCAGAGUCCCUCAAUAACAGCAGAACAACCAGGAGGAACUGUGAAUAUCAAAUGUAAAACCAGCAGAGAUGUGUACAAUGGAGAUUUCUUAGCCUGGUACUUACAGAAACCUGGAGAAGCUCCUAAACUCCUGAUUUAUAGAACAAACCGCCUCGAGUCAGGAACUCCAUCUAGAUUCAGUGGCAGUGGAUCUUACAGUGAUUUCACUCUGAGCAUCAGUGGAGUCCAGACUGAAGAUGCUGGACAUUAUUACUGUCAGAGUUAUCAUGAGACCGACAGUGGUGAUUAUGUGUUCACACAGUGAUAAAGAGUCGUACAAAAACCUCCGUCAGUCAGAGUCACAGUGACUGAACUGAAACUGCAGCUGCUCAAACACACACACACACACACACACACACACACACACACACACACACACACACACACACAC